UGUAGGAGAGCACUGGGGGGAAGGAGGUGGGAUAGGGGAGCAGAGGGCUGUGGGGCAGCUGUGGGGCACGGAGCAGAUGCAUUGGGCUCAUUGCAACGAAGGCUCCACCGAAGGAAAUCCUCCCUUGCCAGAUUUGGGACGUUCCCCUCCAAUCACCUCCACGUUCCCCCCAUAGGGGCAGCCCUCCAUCGCCGCCGUGUGACCCACAGUAAACUACGGGGAGAGAGGGGGACAAACCCAUCCGUCCCCAUUCAGAGCUGCGCUGUGGGGCGCACACCCCCAUCCCUCUCCUGUCCCCAUCGCUCAGUGCCCGGCCCCAUUCGGUGCUGGGGGGACCGUAACGUGAUAUUUCCCCGCUCAUCCCCCGGAGGGUUUUUUCCAUUACACAGAACGGAGCUGCCUGCUUUCCCUGCUCCCCCGCCUGCAACCUCUGGCACCGCUUUUCCAGCGGCACAUUGUGCAAAUGUAACCUUUCAGCAAAGCCACUCCUACGGCAGGAAGCCGUGGGGCCUCGGCUGCUGCCAGGAACGCAGCCGGCUCGGAGCUGGAAGGCAGCCCGUUAAUCAGAGCCGGCUGACAGCAAAGCACACAUCCUGGGCAACAGAUUUCUGCUCCCUCUCCCUCGCUCACAAGCCUCGCCUCGCCGUGCCUGCAUCGCUCCUGCUCGGCUGCUUUGCUGCCAGCCCUUCUGCCUCCCCCUCUUCUUCAUCCUCCUCCUCCUCCUCUUCCUCCUCCUGGGGUGUCCAGCAGGGUUUGCUCCUUGUAGGGGCUGUGCAUGGGGACGGCUGCCACAAUGGGGGUCCUGCUGAGGAUGGGGGGCAGGGGGGUGUUCGGUGGGGUUGUCCCCUGUGGUCUCAGCACCCACAGGACAACCUGCAGGCAGGGCUUGCACCCACACCGCAGCAUUGUGCCUAUCGCCAUAUGGCUGCACUGUGCUCAGGGUGCUGUCCUGGCUGGUGGAAACCCAUUGUGGUUAUGGGGUGUGGGGCUAUUGCAGAACCCCCAGCCCUCCCCAAACCCUGGGGACACCCCAUCCUGUGCUACAGCUUUGAGGAGGUGCCUUGCCCGCCUUCAGCCCAUCAUCACAACCAAACAGCAGCUUUUGUCUGCGCUCAGACAGCAUGGCAGGGUUCUGCUUGGCUCACACUCAAGCUUUCUCCAGCUACAUCUGCACUAGUGCCCAGGUGA
rnacentral:lncRNA from 1 species